rnacentral:tRNA from 1 species
GGAGAGCUGUCCGAGCUGGCCGAAGGAGCACGAUUGGAAAUCGUGUAAACCGCUAACCGCGGUUUCGAGGGUUCGAAUCCCUCGCUCUCCGCCA